rnacentral:rRNA from 1 species
CCUACGGGUGGCAGCAGUGAGGAAUAUUGGUCAAUGGGCGCGAGCCUGAACCAGCCAAGCCGCGUGAAGGAUGAAGGCACUGCGGAUCGUAAACUUCUUUUAUAAGGGAACAAAGACUGGGACGCGUCCCCUGUUGGCUGUACCUUAAGAAAAAGCAUCGGCUAACUCCGUGCCAGCAGCCGCGGUAAUACGGAGGGUGCGAGCGUUAUCCGGAUUUAUUGGGUUUAAAGGGUGCGGAGGCGGGUUGUUAAGUCAGCUGUGAAAGCCCGGGGCUCAACCCUGGAACUGCAGUUGAUACUGGCAGUCUUGAGUACGGGAGAGGUAGGCGGAAUGCGUGGUGUAGCGGUGAAAUGCAUAGAUAUCACGAAGAACUCCGAUUGCGAAGGCAGCUUACUGGACUGCCACUGACGGUGAGGCACGAAAGCGUGGGUAUCAAACAGGAUUAGAUACCCCGGUAGUC